rnacentral:rRNA from 1 species
NNUGGUUCCAACUGCCCAGUGAUGAUUUUAACGGACGCGGUAUUCUAACCGUGCAAAGGUAGCGUAAUCACUUGUCUUCUAAAUAAAGACUAGUAUGAACGGCUAAAUGAGGUCAAGUCUGUCUCUUAUAACCAAUCAGUGAAAUUAAUCUUCCAGUACAAAAGCUGGAAUAUUACCAUAAGACGAGAAGACCCUGUGGAGCUUUAAACAAACCAUUAAUUUCUAAAAACCUAAUACAUAGUUUUAAGUUGGGGCGACUUUGGAACAAACUAAACCUCCAAGCACAGAACCACAAAUUCUAUAUAGGCUAACAAGCCAGCCAUAUGACCCAGUAACACUGAUUAACGAACCAAGUUACCCCAGGGAUAACAGCGCCAUCUUCUUCAAGAGUUCCUAUCGACAAGAAGGUUUACGACCUCGAUGUUGGAUCAGGACACCCAAAUGGUGCAGCCGCUAUUAAAGGUUCGUUUGUUCAACGAUUAACAGUCCUACAUGAUC